rnacentral:miRNA from 1 species
AACUAAGUUUGUUAAUUGGUAUGAGCUUUCGUGUGCAUGCACACUUCUUCAGAUACCUUCUUCAGAAGUGUGCAUGCACAUGAAAGCUCAUACCAAUAACAAACUUAGUUGG